UGGGGAAUCUUCCGCAAUGGACGAAAGUCUGACGGAGCAACGCCGCGUGAGUGAAGAAGGUUUUCGGAUCGUAAAACUCUGUCUUUUGGGGCGAACGUGAGUAUGGUGAACAAUCAUAGUCAGUGACGGUACCAAAGGAGGAAGCCACGGCUAACUACGUGCCAGCAGCCGCGGUAAUACGUAGGUGGCAAGCGUUGUCCGGAAUUAUUGGGCGUAAAGAGCGCGUAGGCGGGAUAGUCAGUCUGUUGUAAAAGUGCGGGGCUCAACCCCGUGAUGGCAAUGGAAACAGCUAUUCUUGAGUGCAGGAGAGGAAAGUGGAAUUCCCAGUGUAGCGGUGAAAUGCGUAGAUAUUGGGAGGAACACCAGUGGCGAAGGCGACUUUCUGGACUGUGUCUGACGCUGAGGCGCGAAAGCCAGGGGAGCGAACGGGAUUAGAUACCCCGGUAGUCCUGGCCGUAAACGAUGGGUACUAGGUGUGGGGGUAUCGACCCCUUCCGUGCCGGAGUUAACGCAAUAAGUACCCCGCCUGGGGAGUACGGUCGCAAGACUGAAACUCAAAGGAAUUGAC
rnacentral:rRNA from 1 species